rnacentral:rRNA from 1 species
GAUGAACGCUGGCGGCGUGCCUAAUACAUGCAAGUCGAACGAAACUUCUUUAUCACCGAGUGCUUGCACUCACCGAUAAAGAGUUGAGUGGCGAACGGGUGAGUAACACGUUGGCAACCUGCCCAAAAGAGGGGGAUAACACUUGCAAACAGGUGCUAAUACCGCAUAACCAUAGUUACCGCAUGGUAACUAUGUAAAAGGUGGCUAUACUACCGCUUUUGGAUGGUCCCGCGGCGCAUUAGCUAGUUGGUAGGGUAAAGGCUUACCAAGGCAAUGAUGCGUAGCCGAAUUGAGAGGUUGAUCGGCCACAUUGGGACUGAGACACGGCCCAAACUCCUACGGGAGGCAGCAGUAGGGAAUCUUCCACAAUGGGCGAAAGCCUGAUGGAGCAACGCCGCGUGGGUGAAGAAGGUCUUCGGAUCGUAAAACCCUGUUGUUAGAGAAGAAAGUGCGUGAGAGUAACUGUUCACGUUUCGACGGUAUCUAACCAGAAAGCCACGGCUAACUACGUG